rnacentral:rRNA from 1 species
UACGGAGGGGGCUAGCGUUGUUCGGAAUUACUGGGCGUAAAGCGCACGUAGGCGGCUUUGCAAGUUAGAGGUGAAAGCCCGGGGCUCAACUCCGGAAUUGCCUUUAAAACUGCAUCGCUAGAAUUGUGGAGAGGUAAGUGGAAUUCCGAGUGUAGAGGUGAAAUUCGUAGAUAUUCGGAAGAACACCAGUGGCGAAGGCGGCUUGCCAGAACGCACUCGACGGUGAGGGAUGAAAGCUGGGGGAGCAAACCGG